rnacentral:tRNA from 1 species
GCAUUAGUAGCUCAGUAUUCAGAGCGCCGGUCUUGUAAAUCGGAUGUCGGGGGUUAAAGUCCCCCCUAUCGCU